rnacentral:rRNA from 1 species
GACGAAGGAUGCAAGCGUUAUCCGGAUUCAUUGGGUUUAAAGGGAGCGUAGGUGGUCUUCUAAGUCAGUGGUGAAAUCUCUCGGCUUAACUGAGAAAUUGCCAUUGAUACUGGGAGACUUGAGUGUAGUUCCGUUGGCGGGAUAUGACAUGUAGUGGUGAAAUACAUAGAGAUGUCAUAGAACACCGAUUGCGAAGGCAGCUAACGAAACUAUAACUGACACUGAGGCUCGAAAGUGCGGGGAUCAAACAGG